rnacentral:rRNA from 1 species
UACGGAGGGUGCAAGCGUUAAUCGGAAUUACUGGGCGUAAAGCGUGCGCAGGCGGUUUGUUAAGUCCGUUGUGAAAGCCCCGAGCUCAACUUGGGAAUUGCAGUGGAUACUGGCAGGCUGGAGUACGGUAGAGGAAGGUGGAAUUCCCGGUGUAGCAGUGAAAUGCGUAGAUAUCGGGAGGAACACCAGUGGCGAAGGCGGCCUUCUGGACCAGUACUGACGCUCAUGCACGAAAGCGUGGGGAGCAAGCAGG